rnacentral:rRNA from 1 species
CGGGUAUAGUUAGUGGCGGACGGGUGAGUAACACGUGAGCAACCUACCUUCGAGAGGGAAUAACGGCUGGAAACGGUCGCUAAUACCGCAUAACAUACUGGGGGGACAUCCCUUUGGUAUCAAAGAUUUUAUCGCUCGGAGAUGGGCUCGCGUCCGAUUAGGUAGUUGGUGAGGUAACGGCUCACCAAGCCGACGAUCGGUAGCCGGACUGAGAGGUCGAACGGCCACAUUGGGACUGAGACACGGCCCAGACUCCUACGGAAGGCAGCAG